CCCCUCUCAGGGUCGCAACUGGAGAGUUUCCAGGACUCUACCAGUCUCGACUAUGGGAGGGAGAAUCAAGCAGAGGCCUACCCAUUCCAUUCCUAGCUUGGGCAGUGGCCUGGGAGCGGAAGGCCAUCUGUUACAAGU
rnacentral:snoRNA from 1 species